GGCGGGCGGCGGGCAGCAUGGCGGCCGCAGAGGACACGGCGCCGCUCUGCCCCGCGCUCGACGAUCCCGGCGGCCCCCGCGGCGCGCGCCCGCCGCUCUAGGCAGCAGCGCCUCGCCUCGGUGGUGGAGCAGGGGAGGCGCUCUAGCCGCCGGGUCCGCCAGGACUCGCUGGUUCCGGUAGGUGUCGCACAGCCCACAGCCCCUGACUGAGGAGCCUGCGAGAUGGCAGGGAUGCUCUGUGACUGUGAUGCUGCAUUCUGUGGAGGAGAUGCUGCCAGUGAGAGGUUGUGCAAGCAACUGGAUCCCACAUCAAACCUAUGUUGCAAGAGCUCUAGGACCAGCGGGGCUCUCCUCUGGAAGCAGGUAGGACAUGACUUUCCUCUGCACAAUAGGGAGCCCAGGGCUGGGCCUAAUCCUUGCCCACACCCACAAGGAAAGCAGCACAGCAGCUCUAGAUCUGAGACCAACCAGCUCCUCCUCCCGCUGGUUCAAGGUUCAAGAACCACUGCUGGGGUUGGAGUACAGACACCAGCUCCACAGAACACCCCAGCCCUGCCCCAGCUGGCCACCAGCUGCUCUGCAGCAGCUGCUUUCACUUGCCUGGUAGCCCUGUGUUGCAGCUGGCUGAUAGGACGAGUAUGCUGGGGUUGUAGUGGGCACCGCCUGCCCCUGCUGAGCCGCCUGCCCGCUGCCUGCCCCUGGCUGGUACAUGUAGGCAUUCACCACGUUGGGAUCUGAAGCGAAGAGGGCAGAGAUGGAAGAAACUGCCUUUUUUUCAGCCUCUGCCCACACCGGAUCAGCACAUUAACAUACCUGUCCCAGUGACAGGCAUUGCUGUAUAUGGUCCUGUGCCCCCCUGUGCUGCCUGGUUCAUGUAUACACUAUGCAUGGGAGAGCCCUCCACAGAGCCAGCAGGGCUGAAGGUGCCAGGGAAGCUAGUGGGCCCUGAGGGCUGGUAAAUCACUCCACUGGCAGCUGGCAUGGCCUGGAGCUAUUGAGGGAAGAAAAGCAAGCUUUAGGCCAUGGUCCCCAGGACCCAGCAGGAGGGUCUCUUGCCCAGCAGUCAGACCUGGGCAUAAGGCAGCGAGAAAGCUGGCAUCUGGGCUCUCAUCUGGAUGGUCUGCUUCUGCUGUUCCAGGCGCAUCUGCCUCUCCUUCUCCUGCUCCUGCAGUCGCUGAAUGGCCAACUGACGCUGCAUCUCCAGGUACUCCUAUGGGAACAAUACCAGUGCUGUGAUGGCUGGAAGCUAGGACACAGCUAGGACCCUCCUGUCAGGACAGCCGUCCUUGUCAGCUCUGGCUGGCCCACAGUGCAUACAAGUGUGCAGGUAGAUCCACCCUGGACAUGCUUCUCUGCCUCACCUGCUUUUUCUGUCUCAUUAUCUCCAGCUUCUGGGCCAGCUGGAUCUGGCGCUGGCGCUCUGCUUCCUCUGCUGCACGCCGCACCUUCUCCCGAUGCUCUUCCCGCAGUGCAUUCAGAGCACCACGCGCAUCCCGGAUCUGGGCCAGUUUGUCCUGCAGGCUUUCAUAGUACACUGGGGAAGGAAAGAGUGCCUUAGGGAUCCUGUCAGUGCAGAACACUCAGACCAUCCCUGCACACUGCACUGGCUUCUCUCCAGACAAGCUGUAUCAUGGGAAUGCCACAUGCUGGCUCUGGAGGAUGCCCUGGCAGCCACCUGCUCCACCCCAGGACACCCAGCCCAGACUAGGACAGCUCCCACAUACUUCUGCGCUCAUCCAGCUGAUUGAGCAGCUCCAGCAGCUGGGGGUGCAUGUUGUUAAUGGACUGGAAGAGGGACAAUACGGCAGAGUCGUUGGUGAUGCUGCGGCCUCGCAUGUGGUUACUCUUCAUGCGGUUGACAAAUGUGGUGACUGCGUUUUGCAGAGCCUUCAGAAACUGCUCAUGGUUCUCCUCCGACUCACCGUUCUGGUACUGCUGCUGGAAGGACAGGGCAACCAGUCAGCCUCAGCUCACCCAUGCCAAGAACCAGCGGGAACUGUGGAGCUGGACUACGUGGUGGAGUCAGGUACUUCUCAUACCUCACAAGCUGCUGGACACAGGCUCAGGCCCCCUCUUACCUCAACAACACUGAGCGGGGCAGGGUGGGCUUCCCCAGGCUGAGCAACUGGCUCUGUGAGAGACAGAGGUGCUGAUGGGGUGGGGCUCUUGCGAACUUCCUCUUGUUUCUUCUCCCAGUAGUUGCGGUUCAGGUACCGAGCCAGCUGCCAGGAAGUGAGGGAAGAUGAGCAUCACGGCCCCGCUGGGAGCAGCCCUGCACCAUGGACUCAUCCAUCAGUCCUGCAUCCUUACCUCAGGGUCAAUGUCCUCAGCCAGGGGAGCAGAAGAAUUCUGGAAAGAGGUGAACAGGGAAUCCAGUUUUGAGAAAUCAGAUAAGUGCAGCUCGUACCAGCCAUCUGGCCCAGACCUGGCCAUGCACAACUACCAGUGCUGAGCGGCAGAAUGAGAGGGGUACAGCCAUCUCCUUCAGCCAGAUACAGACUGCAGCUACUGGAAGCAGCAGCCUGAGCCACAUGCUAUCAGCAGAGGCAUCUAAAUGUGAGCUGAUUUUCCAUCCAAAAAAAACCUUGCAUUGUCAAAAACCAAAGGACUGAAGGGAGCAGAACUAUUCUCUUAGGGAUCAAAUCUGAUCCAAGCAGGGAAGAGCUGGGCUGUGGAAUUGGCCUGUGCCCAGCUACUUCAUGCUUAGAGGCUUCUGUGAACAUACCACGGGGGGGGAAUAGAGCGUGCCCACCGGCGGAGCUGAUGAUGUGACGGGUGUGGGCUCAGCCUUCGGGUACAUAGAGUAACUUGUCUUCUGUCUCUGCAAAAACGAAAGGGGAAAAAAGAAAAAAAAAGAAAAAUCAAAUCAGAGACUGUCCAGGUUCGUCCCAGUCAGCAGCACAUUGGGCACAGUGGGGAGGUGAAUCCCCUUAUGGUGUCUAGGCACAGUCAGCAGACUCAGCCCCAUGGUCUACAAUUCUCACAGCCUGGCAGGCCACAGGGUUUGCAUCCAGGGCACAGCUUGCUCCCAUUUUUCAGCUGUACAACAUGUGUGCCUGGCUCCCUUUUCACCCUAAUCUCAUUCCGCAAGUCCCCAUACCUCUCACAUACCAGGACAUGCCUAGGGAUCUAUUACUGCACAGCUAGGAGAUAACCCAGCACAUCUGGGCUGCGUGGCAAAAUACACUCCCAGAUGCCAAACAGGGUACGAACCAUCCUCUCCUUCUCCUCGGCCUCUGACUGAGACAAGGCAAUGGCUAACUGGAGCUCUUCUUCUUCUUGCAGAGCUGUCUCAUCACGCUUUGGGGGCAGCUGCAAGUAAAAGAUGAAGAAGUGGCCACUAAGGGGAUCAACAAGCAGGCCAGGAUCACUAGGUCACCUAGUGAGGGGAGCCACACACCUGGGACUGCUGAGAGAGGGGGCUGGUCAGGUACUCAGGGGGCAGUUCAGAGGCAGCAGCAGCUUUACCCUCAGCUUUCCUGUAGCCAGGAAGAGGUGACAGUGCAGAAUGAGCUUCUUCCUUAGCACCGGAGCCCCAGUUUUGCACAACAUUACAGCUGUAAAGCCCAUGCCCAGAAGAGACAAAACCCAGAUAGCCUGCACAACUUGGGAAACCCUUUGCCCUGGUCUUUGGAGAGACGGCUCCAUGCCAAGUGUUUCCCCUCACAGUACCAACUGUUGAAAGCAAAAAACAUGCCACCAAGGGUACUGACUUGUUGAGAUGCUCGUAACAGGGCUCACACACUCUCACUUCCUUCUCAAUCCCGAACUUGGGAAUAGUGGAAUACUUGGAGGAACACUUGCCACAGAAGAUCUGCCCACAGGCCCUGCAGUGAUGCUGGAAAAUAUGGGAGACAUCAGUGUGGUAGUGAGACACUUUUUCACUGUUGGACAAGUUCACUCAGACAGGAACAUGUUCCCACCCAGAUGCAAUUCCACACAGGCUCAAGGAGUCUUGCACUUUCUGGAGGGACUGCAAAAGACUAGGGAACCCAGAAAGGCAGGAAUAGCACCCACCUUCCGUGUCACCACACCAAACUGCACUCGACACCUGUGACACUCCUCAGCAUCCACCCAGUCUGGAGCCUGUUGGGUUCAAAGAAACUUGUGUGAGGAAGGGAGCAAUGUCUCAAGGAUGGUGGCUCCACAGAGCCUUUCAGGAUCUUCUCUGACUAACUAAAGCUGUUGUGAAUGAGGCAGGAGGAAAGCAUUUGCAGGAUAUUGGUCCUUGCAAGUGGUCACUUCUCAUGUUACUAGACUGUGACACUUUCCCAGUCAGCAGGAUUACAGCAAUCACUUCAGCCAUGCUCUGCUACCACAUUCAGUCUGCCAUGCUGCUGGAAAAUCACUGAGUAGGUCCUUUCUGUAGGGUGCUGUAUGUAACUGUUGAGUCACGGCCCGAACCACUGAUUGAGCACCUGGGGAAAGGACCCAGUCAGCUCUGGGAGCACAGGUGAAGGCAAUUCACCUGUGUGAUUGGAAGGGGUGGAGCCUGGCUGCACUUCUCUUACACCUCAUUUAAGGGCUGACUGCCACUGGGGAGGGCUUCUUUCCUGGAGGUCCAUCCUUGGUGAAUUUUUCCCCUGCGAAUCUAGAACCUUCUGAUACGGGUGAGCAAUCUUCUUCCUUUUUUUUUUUAUAGCACCUCUCUAUUAUGCCAGUUCUUUUGUCAUCACAUCUUUGUUGUAAUGCCUUUCCCAUUGUAUUGAUCUGUCUAACAGCUACAGGCACUUAGCAAGAUGAGACUAAUUGACCAGGACAGGGUCGGCUGUCCCUUCCCUCUAAGCCAUUUUUGGCCAAGCUGCUGUAUUCAGAAUUGCUCAGGUGACAGCUGAGAGCAAUAUGCACCCAUAUCUGUAAUCUGAGUGAAAUAGGAGAAAGCAAGAACUGAAGAUUUAGUAUCUCAUGGGCUACAACAGCAAGGUCUACCCUGCAGUGCCAGCUCCCUUUCCAGCAGUGAAGCUCACCCUUUCUGCAGCAAACAUGGCAUCGCUUUCCUUGAACUCUGGAAACACGUGACCUGUGGGAGAAUAGACAGUGUUCCAUUGUGAAAGGGCUUCUCCUGCACAUGGAAUAUCUUAAGUCCAGACUUCACCAGUGCCCAGCUAAGACCCAAAGCCCACUCCUUCUGCAAAGCUCCUCUGGAGUAGAUCUGCUUAGCAACUGUCCACCCACCUUUGCCCCGUUGUCCUCACCUUCAACCUUCAUUAUCUGAUAGGUGUCCUGCACCACCUUGUACUUGGGCUCAUUGCGGAAGGCAUGAGCCCAGGCCUGGAUAAGGUUCAGAAUCUUACUGCGGACACUUGUUUCCACUUGCCUCUGCACAGAAAGGGGAAGAAAAAAAAAUCUGAGAAAAAAGUUCCUGAAACACAGAAGAGGAGCCAAAUACUAUUUAUAGAGAGAGAGACUUAGAGUUCUUGUGCAAGCAAGCUGCAAGCAGGACAACCUACAGCAAGGACUGUUCCUCCUUCAGCUUUCUCACUUCCUCACUUCAGCAUAAAUGGGAGGACAUCCUUCAGAAUGGCACAAGUCGACUGGAAAAGGGGUGUAGUCACAAUGCUUUUGGAAAACAUCUACAGAGACUUAUACAGUUGCUCCCCAGGGGAAGUGUAAGCACUGGCCUGCCAACAUUCUUGUUUACCUUCUCAUAAGAGCUGAUCAUCCUGCACUCCAAAACCUGCAAGAAUGAUAGCUACCCAGCUGGACAGGACAGCACAAUCUGAUUCACCCCAGUUCUGACAGGUCACCACAAACACAAAGCAGGAGGCUGUUUGUGCCUAGCUGUCAGCAGCUCCAGCUUAGACACUCUUGCCCAUUAGUAUUCAAAGCUAACUUGGAUACGAUGCAAUAAGGACAGCUGGGAAGCCUGCCCUUUGGAGGCAAGGGCAGUUGUAUCACAGCUCAAGAACAGAGGAAACUUGGCAAGCCCAUUCCUAUCCCAGCCAGCCUCUAAGUGCACCCUGUCAUCAGCUGACCAAGUCAUGGCCUGCUCACAUGACCAGUUUCUCCAGAAGUCACCCAGGAAGCAGAGAGGCAUUGUCACACUCCUGUUUCAGCUGAGAACUCAGCCCACGCAGUGUGAUUUAGUGAUAGUUCCCGGAGCUCCAAACUUAUGGAAGAAUUGUCAAAAUCUUGCUUUCCACAAAUGGCACAGCCCUGAGCCUCAUCAGAACAAAGGUAAUUUUAAAUAGCAUUAGGUGUUCACAAGCAGCAAAGUUCCCAGUGUAGGAUGAAAAUGGGUCUGCAACAGUUAUGAAACUGCUGAGGCAGGUAAGGAUUGAAGAGCAUGACAAAAAUCUCUCAAUCCAAUCUGGUCUGAUUUCUUCAGUGCCUGGGGUGGCCGUGCGACUACACCUGGCCUUCACAUUGUGGCAGCAUUCCAAGUUCAACAGAAGAUACUGUAUGAAGACUGAGUCAGCCCCCAACCGGAAAAUGACAGAAGAGAGACACUCUGCUACGUUGCAUAAGAUGACAGACUAGUACAGCUCACUCCACAAAUAUCUGGGUCAUCUGGUUGUCCAUCUUCUGCCAGAAAUAGGGACUAUAAAGAAGUAAUAGCAUCACUCUUACAAGCUCUUGCCUGUGCAUUGCUUUUCUUGGGACUGGGAACUGAAGACACAGGUUCUUAUUUGCUCCUCACUCUGGGAAGUCUCAAGGCCUGGGACAUAAGGAGCUCUUGCAGGCAUCACGUUAUAUCACACUGACAAGUGAUACAAGUCUACAUCCUGCAAAACUCCCCGGGCCAGUUCCACAGGCCAAUGAAAAGGCCAUAGUAAAGAUGAAACUUCUGUCAGUUUUCACCAUGCUGCUUACCUUCCUGCAUGUCUUACCCUGGUCUACAGGAAGGGAAUUCACAUACAGUGCUCGUAUCCUAGGUGAAGCUGUCUGAGCAUCUUCUCUAUUUUUCUUUGCCAUCUCUGGUCAAGCAAAGCAUUACGCCCAACAGCACCUAUCAUGAAUGUCUGCCCUUACAGCAUAUUCCUACCCCAUGAUAUAACCAAACAUUAUCAUUGCUCUCAUGAUAUCUUCUCUCCCCAGCAGGCACUCUUCUGUGUUCUACACUCCCUUUGCAUUAAGCAGUACAGGUUGCUUUUCUCUGAAAAAGAUUUCCAGUUUCCCAGUCGGUCCUUAAACACAGAGAAUGAAAUGCAGAACAUGCACAUCUUCUCUUUUCAUUGCCUCUCUUGCAACUUUAUUUGAAAAUUGAAGUAAAAUAACAUACAUUUACCUUGA